AUUCCCAGUCCCCUCCCCUCAGCACCACAUACUGUGCAGCCGUCGUGGGAGGACGGGUUCAAAGGAGAAGCUUGGAGAGGGCAGGAGGGCUGCAGCAGGCACCGGGCUCUUUGCUGUGCACUGCCUGCCCCUCGCCGACGUUGCACCUUGCUGCCUCAGUUUAGACUUGCUGAUUCUUCUCCACUGUGUUCCUGAGCGCCCGCCCCCCAGCCUGGGCGAGUGCCCAGAGCUCAACACUGGGUACCGUGGUGGGAGCGUGCGCUGAGCUGCACAGGCAGCCUGGUGAGAAAUAAGGAAGUCUGGAGGUCACAGACAAGUGAGAAAAGAAGCAGGAGCCCAGGAAAGGGCAGCGAGAGAGCGCGGCCGCACGUGAUAAGGCUCUGUGAUCUCCAGACGGUUCUUUCUGGCAGUGGUUUCCAAUCUGAGUGCCAAGGCACCCCAAAGUGCUGUGGGAUAGUUUACAUUUUGAAGAAACACAGAGAUGCUUCACAUCUGUCAGCAUUAACCUCUAGGUCAAGGCAUUGAAAGUACAGAAUUUUUAUUGUGGCAGAAGGAAAAUUGAAAUUUUACUCUGUGAUGGUUGAACGUCUUCAUCAGAGUUGCCAGUCUGCAGCCAGCCCUAUGGAAUUUGGACUCGUGCAUCCCCACAGCUGUGUGAGACACUUUCAUAAAAUCUUAAAUUUAUAGGUAUCUCUUGUUGGUUCUGUUUCCUUAGAGAACCCUAACUAAUACACACUCCGUAUUUGCAUUUUCAUUCUGCCAUAGUAAGAGCCCCGAUAGCCAGCAGUAUCCAUGUAGUCAUUUGCUCAAUCCUACGCUACCUACAGAAGAUACCCAGCCCUCUGCCCAUCACCUGGUCCCCUAAACCUCCGACACCAAUUGGGAGCCCAGGAUGAUGCUGGGGGCCACUAGGUAUCAAUGUCAGACCCUGUCCAAUUUUCCUUAAAAUGUCUGGGUAUUCCCAAUUGCUAGUGUACAGCCAUCGAGUAAAUGGCUGUUAGGUGCCUUUGGGGAAGGACUGCGGGAAUAAUUAUAAUACAUACCUGCCAUAGUAUCACAGAUUCCCUUUUCCUAGCAACCUGGCCAGGUGUUUAGUCAAUGGGGACAGAUACUGAUCAGAAGACUACGCCCCUUUGUAGGCUGUCUUCUGGCAGCCUCCUGCUCCUUCACGCUCACCUUUUCUGGUUGUCGAUGUAAAGCAGUGCCCUUGUCGACCACCCUUCUGUCUUGCCCCUGGGGCCACCGUGCUGUACCAGCCGUCUCCACAGCCCUUUGUCGGUCGAGCCCCCUUGGCUGCUGCCUUGACCUUGUGUGGCCGUUACAGCAAUUGCAGCUUGCUGGCUUCUGGGGGUGCAGCGCCACCACUGGCCCCUGCUUCUCGGGGGGAGAGCAUCACCCUGGUGGAUAAAUGGGGGCCGAGCUCCCACCCUGAGGUUUUGCUCCUAACAUGGGCCCUGGCCUGCCGCAGAGGCCACCGCCACACUUCUCAGCGAAGCUGGUGCCCCUCCCACCACACCCUCCUGGCAUCGUGGAUGGGGGUCUCUGCACCCUCCUGUGGAGUCCUCCAGCCUCAUGAAAUACUCCCAUUGCCCCCAACCCCAUUUUCUCCUCCUCUCCUAUUGGCCAGGGCAGCUCAGGCCUCACCCACUGUGGGACCUGCUUCCUCCAGACUUCAAAGGUGCACCUUGGCAGCGAGAUUGCCCACCCCUGGGUCCACACCUGGGGGUCAAAUACUCUGUCCUGAGAAAUGCCCUCAAGUCUGUGCGUUCUUGCUUAUCCAGUCUGAUAUUUCAGCCUCCAUGACCAAUCAUCCUCGAAAGCCGCUCCCAGGGGUGCUCCUCUGGCUCCUGCCAGUGUGUGGUUAGCUAAAUACUGACACCUAUAAGGGGAGGAGGGAGAGGAGGGCUCGGGGAGGAGUCUCAGACCAUGAUGCAGAUGUGACACCUUGUGCCGGUUUGAGUGUAUUGUGUCCCCCAAAUGCCAUUAUCUUUGUGGUCUUGUGGGGCAGAAGUUUUGGUGCUGGUUGGAUUUGCUUGGAGUGUGCCCCACCCAGCUGUGGGAGAUGAUUCUA